rnacentral:rRNA from 1 species
CCUACGGGAGGCAGCAGGGAGGAAUAUUGGUCAAUGGACGGAAGUCUGAACCAGCCAUGCCGCGUGCAGGAAGACGGCGCGAUGAGUUGUAAACUGCUUUUGUACAAGGGUAAACCGGAAUACGUGUAUUCAGCUGAAAGUACUGUACGAAUAAGGAUCGGCUAACUCCGUGCCAGCAGCCGCGGUAAUACGGAGGAUCCAAGCGUUAUCCGGAUUUAUUGGGUUUAAAGGGUGCGUAGGCGGAUUGAUAAGUUAGAGGUGAAAUUUCCGAGCUGAACUCGGGAACUGCCUCUCAUACUGUUGAUCUAGAGCGUAGUUGCGGUAGGCGGAAUGUUUGGUGUAGCGGUGACAUGCUU